rnacentral:rRNA from 1 species
AACAGGAUUAGAUACCCUGGUAGUCCACGCCGUAAACGAUGAGUGCUAGGUGUUGGGGGGCUACGCCCCUCAGUGCCGAAGGUAACCCAUUAAGCACUCCGCCUGGGGAGUACGGCCGCAAGGCUGAAACUCAAAGGAAUUGACGGGGGCCCGCACAAGCGGUGGAGCAUGUGGUUUAAUUCGAAGCAACGCGAAGAACCUUACCAGGGCUUGACAUCCCGCUGACCCCUCCAGAGAUGGAGGUUUCCUUCGGGACAGCGGUGACAGGUGGUGCAUGGUUGUCGUCAGCUCGUGUCGUGAGAUGUUGGGUUCAGUCCCGCAACGAGCGCAACCCUUGUCGUUAGUUGCCAGCAUUUCGGAUGGGCACUCUAACGAGACAGCCGGUGAAAGCCGGAGGAAGGUGGGGAUGACGUCAAAUCAUCAUGCCCCUUAUGUCCUGGGCUACACACGUGCUACAAUGGCUGGUACAAAGGGCAGCGAACCCGCGAGGGGGAGCCAACCCCAAAAAGCCAGUCUCAGUUCGGAUCGCAGGCUGCAACUCGCCUGCGUGAAGCCGGAAUCGCUAGUAAUCGCGGAUCAGCAUGCCGCGGUGAAUAUGUUCCCGGGCCUUGUACACACCGCCCGUCGCACCACGAGAGUUUGCAACACCCGAAGUCGGUGAGGCAGCCUUUUAGGAGCCAGCCGCCGAAGGUGGGGCAGAUGAUUGGGGUGAAGUCGUAACAAGGUAACC